GGCUAUAUAUUCAAUAAUGAUUUCAGAUUGCAAUUCUGAGGGUGUGAAUUUCACUAAGGCCU
rnacentral:tRNA from 1 species